UUUCCGUAGGUGAACCUGCGGAAGGAUCAUUGUCGAAACCUGCCCAGCAGAACGACCCGCGAACUUGUAUAAACAACCGGGGGCGGGGGGCGUUCCCGCCCCGUGCCCCCGAACGGCGGGGAGACACUCGUGCCUUCUUGCCGAACAACGAACCCCGGCGCGGUCUGCGCUAAGGAACUUCAACUAAAGAGUGGCUCCGGUCGCCUCGGAAACGGCGUGCGUGCCGGGGGCGAAGCUUGUGCAAAACCAUAACGACUCUCGGCAACGGAUAUCUCGGCUCUG
rnacentral:misc_RNA from 1 species